UACGUAGGGGGCAAGCGUUGUCCGGAAUCAUUGGGCGUAAAGAGCGUGUAGGCGGCUUGGUAAGUCCGCUGUGAAAGUCCAGGGCUCAACCCUGGAAUGCCGGUGGAAACUGUCAAGCUUGAGUCCGGAAGAGGCGAGUGGAAUUCCUGGUGUAGCGGUGAAAUGCGCAGAUAUCAGGAGGAACACCAAUGGCGAAGGCAGCUCGCUGGGACGGUACUGACGCUGAGACACGAAAGCGUGGGGAGCAAACAGG
rnacentral:rRNA from 1 species